rnacentral:rRNA from 1 species
UCCGAAGGGGGCUAGCGUUGCUCGGAAUCACUGGGCGUAAAGCGCACGUAGGCGGAUCUUUAAGUCAGGGGUGAAAUCCUGGAGCUCAACUCCAGAACUGCCUUUGAUACUGGAGAUCUCGAGUCCGGAAGAGGUGAGUGGAACUCCGAGUGUAGAGGUGAAAUUCGUAGAUAUUCGGAAGAACACCAGUGGCGAAGGCGGCUCACUGGUCCGGUACUGACGCUGAGGUGCGAAAGCGUGGGGAGCAAACAGG